rnacentral:rRNA from 1 species
AACGAACGCUGGCGGCAGGCCUAACACAUGCAAGUCGAGCGAGACCUUCGGGUCUAGCGGCGGACGGGUUAGUAACGCGUGGGAACGUGCCCUUCUCUGCGGAAUAGCCACUGGAAACGGUGAGUAAUACCGCAUACGCCUUCGGGGAAAGAUUUAUCGGAGAAGGAUCGGCCCGCGUUAGAUUAGAUAGUUGGUGGGUAACGGCCUACCAAGUCUACGAUCUAUAGCUGGUUUUAGAGGAUGAUCAGCAACACUGGGACUGAGACACGGCCCAGACUCCUACGGGAGGCAGCAGUGGGGAAUCUUAGACAAUGGGCGCAAGCCUGAUCUAGCCAUGCCGCGUGUGUGAUGAAGGUCUUAGGAUCGUAAAGCACUUUCGCCAGGGAUGAUGAUGACAGUACCUGGUAAAGAAACCCCGGCUAACUCCGUG